GAGUUUGAUCGUGGCUCAGGAUGAACGCUAGCUACAGGCUUAACACAUGCAAGUCGAGGGGCAUCAGUUUGGUUUGCUUGCAAACCAAAGCUGGCGACCGGCGCACGGGUGAGUAACACGUAUCCAACCUGCCUCAUACUCGGGGAUAGCCUUUCGAAAGAAAGAUUAAUAUCCGAUAGCAUAUAUUUCCCGCAUGGGUUUUAUAUUAAAGAAAUUCGGUAUGAGAUGGGGAUGCGUUCCAUUAG
rnacentral:rRNA from 1 species